GAGAUCAUGACCUGAGCCGAAGUCGGACGCCCGACCGACUGAGCCACCCAGGCGCCCCAACAGGUUGUUCGCUGGAUCCUAUUCUGAGGGGAAGUGACCACAAUUCACCGUGCAGACGGACUUGUCAAUCAUCAGGCGAUCUAGGAGAGCGUGCAAGCGGGCAAGUUCAAACGCCAGUCUGGCUCUGGGGGAAUCAGACCACUGCCGCUUCUCCAUUUGUGAGGACGGUGCACUAAUGGCCUCUGGCAGGCUGCUCUGUGAAAGCACUGGACAGUGGAUGGAAGACCAGUAUAAAUUUUAAAUUGGUUUGUGCUGGAUAUAAAUAGAAACUGCCUCCAUGUGAAA